AUACGUAGGGGGCGAGCGUUGUCCGGAAUGAUUGGGCGUAAAGGGCGCGUAGGCGGCCCGGUAAGUCUGGAGUGAAAGUCCUGUUUUUAAGAUGGGAAUUGCUUUGGAUACUGUCGGGCUUGAGUGCAGGAGAGGUAUGUGGAAUUCCCAGUGUAGAGGUGAAAUGCGUAGAGAUUGGGAGGAACACCAGUGGCGAAGGCGACUUACUGGACUGUAACUGACGCUGAGGCGCGAAAGUGUGGGGAGCAAACAGGAUUAGAUACCCUGGUAGUCCACACUGUAAACGAUGAAUGCUAGGUGUAGGGGGUAUCGACCCCUUCUGUGCCGCAGUCAACACAAUAAGCAUUCCGCCUGGGGAGUACGGCCGCAAGGUUGAAACUCAAAUGAAUUGACGGGG
rnacentral:rRNA from 1 species